UUGGGGGCCUACGGGAGGCAGCAGUGGGGAAUAUUGCACAAUGGGCGCAAGCCUGAUGCAGCGACGCCGCGUGAGGGAUGACGGCCUUCGGGUUGUAAACCUCUUUCAGUAGGGAAGAAGCGAAAGUGACGGUACCUGCAGAAGAAGCGCCGGCUAACUACGUGCCAGCAGCCGCGGUAAUACGUAGGGCGCAAGCGUUAUCCGGAAUUAUUGGGCGUAAAGAGCUCGUAGGCGGUUUGUCGCGUCUGCCGUGAAAGUCCGGGGCUCAACUCCGGAUCUGCGGUGGGUACGGGCAGACUAGAGUGAUGUAGGGGAGACUGGAAUUCCUGGUGUAGCGGUGAAAUGCGCAGAUAUCAGGAGGAACACCGAUGGCGAAGGCAGGUCUCUGGGCAUUAACUGACGCUGAGGAGCGAAAGCAUGGGGAGCGAACAGGAUUAGAUACCCUGGUAGUCCAUGCCGUAAACGUUGGGCACUAGGUGUGGGGGACAUUCCACGUUUUCCGCGCCGUAGCUAACGCAUUAAGUGCCCCUGCGUGCG
rnacentral:rRNA from 1 species